rnacentral:rRNA from 1 species
ACCUUAAGUCAUGUGAGAGUACCCGCUGAACUUAAGCAUAUCAAUAAGCGGAGGAAAAGAAACUAACAAGGAUUCCCCUAGUAACGGCGAGUGAAGCGGGAAGAGCACAAAUUUAAAAUCUACCUGGUUUUCAGGUCGAGUUGUAAUUUGAAGAUACGUUUUUGACGUUCUGGGUUGGACUAAAUCCUUUGGGAUAAGGUAUCAUAGAGGGUGAGAAUCCCGUAUAUACCAACCGUAGGGAUGUUAUUAAAUACGUUUCUAAGAGUCGAGUUGUUUGGGAAUGCAGCUCUAAAUGGGUGGUAAAUUUCACCUAAUGCUAAAUAUAAGCGAGAGACCGAUAGCGAACAAGUACAGUGAUGGAAAGAUGAAAAGAACUUUGAAAAGAGAGUUAAAUAGUACGUGAAAUUGUUGAAAGGGAAACGAUUGAAGUCAGUCAUGCCGGUGGGAAUCAACUUAGGGGAAACUCUGGGUGCACUUCUUCGCUUGGCAGGUCAACGUCGAUUUUGAAUGUCAUAAAAUAAUUGGGGGAAGGUAGCUCCUUCGGGAGUGUUAUAGCCCUUGAUAGAUGUGAUGUUUGAGGUCGAGGAUUGCAACGGAUACCCUUCGGGGCUAGCUGCCUGAUCUCUAAUUGGUGUUGGGUUACGGAUAGCAUGCUGACCGUGAUCUAAUUACUGGUUAAAAGGUUAGAGUGUGCAUAAAUUCGUUAAGGACGUUGACGUAAUGGCUUUAAACGACCCGUCUUGAAACACGGACCAAGGAGUCUAACAUGUAUGCGAGUGUUAGGGUAUUAAACCCAGACGCGAAAUGAAAGUAAGUGUAGGUGGGAUCCUUUAUUGGAGCACCAUCGACCGAUCUUGAGAUUUAUCGAUAGAAUUGAGUUAGAGC